UAAAAUCAAUUACCACAUAAUUAAAAUUUUUUCAAAAUCCAAGAAACACUCGAAGAGAAAUAAGAGAAGGGUGAGAGCUCACCGAAACCCUAAGCUCACUGUAGACAUCUCCACCGCCGUCUCCAUCGCCGCCGUCACCGCCGUCGCGGCCGCUAAAGUUAAUCUCCUUUCUGCUUCUGCUAUAAAGCUACUGAGAUUGAGCUAAGGCGCUUCCUUCGUCAACGCGUUUUCAGAUCUAAUUGCAAUGCCCAAGCCUCUGAGAUUGAGAGAAACCGCUUCUUCGGUUAACUCUCCUUGGACAAUGACGCUCGUGUUCUCCAUCGACAUUCUAUCCUUUCUAGGCUAGAUCCUUGAAGUACUGAAAAACUGGUUAGAGAAGAGCACUCAAGUUGUUGUCACUAAUGACGAGCGUAUAUUAGGACUAGGAGAUCUUGGUUGCCAGGCUGUUGUUUUCACAGAUAUUAGUCUUGAGAAAGCUAUUGAGUUCAAUGAUUUUUGCCACACUCAUCAGCCUCCUAUUGCUUGUAUCAAAACUGAAGUUAGAGGUUUUUUGUAGAGGAAAAGCCAGUUCUGGACUCGGAACUUUGGCAUGCAUGUGCUGGUUCCCUUGUUUCUUUACCUGCAGUUGGGAGCCAUGUGGUAUACUUUCCAUAAGGUCAUAGUGAACAAGCGAAAUUUCUAAUAUGUUUCAACUUAAAUAUUUUUAAGUUGGUUGAUAUUUCUAAGUGUAUUGAGGCACAGUUAUCCAAUUACAGAUCCUGAUGUGGAAGGUAAUUAAUUAAAUUUGUCCACGUAAGUUAAAUUCUUAACGAAAAAUUAUUAGGAUUCUCAGUAUACAUUAUAACUCUUACACUGAUGUAUUAAUUGAAUUACAAAUUAUUAACGAGUGUUAUAAUAAAAUUACUUUAACCUAUGUGGCAUAAAUUGAUUGGAGUUAUGUUACUCUUAGAGCACCUAAUAACAACUCAUUUUCUAUAAAGAUACGAUUAAUUCAUCCAUAUUUAUGUUAACACUUAUCAAUUUUGGAUGUUCAUA